AUGGAGACCUGUAUGAAUGGCAUAACGAGGGCUUAACUGUCUCCUUUUUCUAGUCAAUGAAAUUGAUCUCCCCGUGCAGAAGCGGGGAUAAUUAUAUAAGACGAGAAGACCCUAUGGAGCUUCAGACACUAACGCAGGCCAUUUCACUAACCCCAGACAAGGAUUUUAAACCAAAUAGUCGACUGCCCUAAUGUC
rnacentral:rRNA from 1 species